rnacentral:rRNA from 1 species
UUGAAAGGGAAACGAUUGAAGUUAGUCGUACCUUCGGGUAAUCAGCCUUUCGGGUGCGAUUCUGUGGAGUGUGAGGAGCUUAAACACCUUCAUGUUUUGCAUAUUCGUACUCUUGGGUGUACUUGCCCGUGUGGUUGGUUAACAUCAAUUUUGGUGGUCAUAAAAUGACUGGAGGAAUGUAGCUUCGAUCUUGUAUUGAAGUGUUAUAGCCUUCGGUAGAUGUGAUGAUCGAGAUUGAGGAUUGCAACGGAUACCCUUCGGGGCUACCCGUCUGGUCUCUGAUCGUUGCUCUGGUGCCGAAAGCUUGCUUACGGUUAUCAAAGUCGAUGGUCAAUAGGUUAGAACGGGUUAAAUUCGUUAAGGAUGUUGACGUA